rnacentral:miRNA from 1 species
AGCUAAUUAAGGAUUCUACAC